UUUUGCCUACGGGAGGCAGCAGUGGGGAAUAUUGCACAAUGGGGGGAACCCUGAUGCAGCGACGCCGCGUGGGUGAAGAAGCGCCUCGGCGCGUAAAGCCCUGUCAGCAGGGAAGAAAAUGACGGUACCUGAAGAAGAAGCCCCGGCUAACUACGUGCCAGCAGCCGCGGUAAUACGUAGGGGGCAAGCGUUAUCCGGAUUUACUGGGUGUAAAGGGAGCGUAGACGGUGCAGCAAGUCUGAUGUGAAAGGUCGGGGCCCAACCCCGGGACUGCAUUGGAAACUGUUGAACUGGAGUACAGGAGA
rnacentral:rRNA from 1 species